CUACGGGCGGCAGCAGUGAGGAAUAUUGCGCAAUGGGGGAAACCCUGACGCAGCGACGCCGCGUGGAUGAUGAAGGCCUUCGGGUUGUAAAAUCCUGUCAGAUGGGAAGAAUUGUUCCAUGUCUAAUAUAUGUGGGACUUGACGGUACCGUCAAAGGAAGCACCGGCUAACUCCGUGCCAGCAGCCGCGGUAAUACGGAGGGUGCAAGCGUUGUUCGGAAUUACUGGGCGUAAAGCGCGCGUAGGCGGUCUGUUAAGUCAGAUGUGAAAGCCCAUGGCUCAACCAUGGACGUGCAUUUGAUACUGGCAGACUUGAGUACUGGAGGGGGUGGUGGAAUUCCCGGUGUAGAGGUGAAAUUCGUAGAUAUCGGGAGGAAUACCGGUGGCGAAGGCGACCACCUGGCCAGAUACUGACGCUGAGGUGCGAAAGCGUGGGGAGCAAACAGGAUUAGAUACCCCAGUAGUC
rnacentral:rRNA from 1 species